GGUUUCAUAGUUCAGUCGGUAGAACGAAGGACUGUUAAUCCUUAUGUCGCCCGUUCGAGUCGGGCUGGAACCUCCA
rnacentral:tRNA from 2 species